CCAGAGAACUUUCCAGAGAUAGAUUGGUGCCUUCGGGAACUCUGAGACAGGUGCUGCAUGGCUGUCGUCAGCUCGUGUUGUGAAAUGUUGGGUUAAGUCCCGCAACGAGCGCAACCCUUAUCCUUUGUUGCCAGCGGUCCGGCCGGGAACUCAAAGGAGACUGCCAGUGAUAAACUGGAGGAAGGUGGGGAUGACGUCAAGUCAUCAUGGCCCUUACGAGUAGGGCUACACACGCGCUACAAUGGCGCAUACAAAGAGAAGCGACCUCGCGAGAGCAAGCGGACCUCAUAAAGUGCGUCGUAGUCCGGAUUGGAGUCUGCAACUCGACUCCAUGAAGUCGGAAUCGCUAGUAAUCGUGGAUCAGAAUGCCACGGUGAAUACGUUCCCGGGCCUUGUACACACCGCCCGUCACACCAUGGGAGUGGGUUGCAAAAGAAGUAGGUAGCUUAACCUUCGGGAGGGCGCUUACCACUUUGUGAUUCAUGACUGGGGUGAAGUCGUAACAAGGUAGGCGUAGUGCU
rnacentral:rRNA from 1 species